AGAGUUUGAUCAUGGCUCAGGACGAACGCUGGCGGCGUGCUUAACACAUGCAAGUCGAACGAUGAACUCCAGCUUGCUGGGGGGAUUAGUGGCGAACGGGUGAGUAACACGUGAGUAACCUGCCCUGGACUCUGGGAUAACCCCGAGAAAUCGGAGCUAAUACCGGAUAGGACCUUGGACCGCAUGGUUUGGGGUGGAAAGUUUUUCGGUCUGGGAUGGACUCGCGGCCUAUCAGCUUGUUGGUGAGGUAAUGGCUCACCAAGGCGUCGACGGGUAGCCGGCCUGAGAGGGUGACCGGCCACACUGGGACUGAGACACGGCCCAGACUCCUACGGGAGGCAGCAGUGGGGAAUAUUGCACAAUGGGCGCAAGCCUGAUGCAGCAACGCCGCGUGCGGGAUGACGGCCUUCGGGUUGUAAACCGCUUUUAGUAAGGAAGAAGGGGAGCUUGCUCCUUGACGGUACUUGCAGAAAAAGGACCGGCUAACUACGUGCCAGCAGCCGCGGUAAUACGUAGGGUCCGAGCGUUGUCCGGAAUUAUUGGGCGUAAAGAGCUCGUAGGCGGUUUGUCGCGUCUGCUGUGAAAUCCCGAGGCUCAACCUCGGGCCUGCAGUGGGUACGGGCAGACUGGAGUGCGGUAGGGGAGAAUGGAAUUCCUGGUGUAGCGGUGGAAUGCGCAGAUAUCAGGAGGAACACCGAUGGCGAAGGCAGUUCUCUGGGCCGUAACUGACGCUGAGGAGCGAAAGCGUGGGGAGCGAACAGGAUUAGAUACCCUAGUAGUCC
rnacentral:rRNA from 1 species